CUUUCCCAUAACAGGCACAGAAGGAAAUCAUCAGGAAUAGACAAGAAAGAUAAGCUGAGCUUCCCAGUUUGAAAUGAAAGCUGCCUUGUUGCUUGGCUCAGAGGACUCCUUCAUGAGAGGAUGCAAUGAUAGGACCAGGGGUGCCUGGUAAGAGGACAGGGC